AUCAAAUAAAAACUCCUAAUUUUAUUUGAUAGUAUCCUAAUCUUUUUCAUAAUAAUCUCCCCAAAAGUCACCAUCGGUGGCUUUUUU
rnacentral:sRNA from 18 species